UUAGAAUAAAAAUCCGUACAAACAGCGUUUAUCAAUCGUGUACUGCUAUUUUACCUCACUUCUCAACUUCGUUGAUUAUUCUACUAGAAUUACUUUAAUUCAUCAUGCCUGGUGGACCUUGUGGAGCCAACUGCACCUGCGAAAAGUGCCGCUGCUGCGGUGCAGCAGCUAAGUGCAGUGCCAGCUGCAAAUGCGAGACCUGCCGUUGCUGUCAACGGGGGCAGAACUGCCGCUGCGGAGAUUGCAAAUGUUGUGGAGCCGCCAAGUGCUAAAGUACAACAUCAGUGUCAACAGAGGGAGCUUGCUAUACUAUAACGCAAAAUGUGCAAAGGUGGUUCAUAAAAUUGAACAUGUAAAUGCUUUGGAAUGUAAUUAAUUUAAAUGAUUUUAACUAAGAUAUUUAUAGUUGAAGCAAUAAAUGUUUCAAAUGUG